UGGGCGACAGAGCGGGACUCUGUCUCAAAAAAGAAAAAAGAAGUGCUCACUCCCCAGCCUCAGGAGUGGCCAUGUCAACCCGGGGGGCACAGCCACACAGGCAAGGGCAGCCCUGGGUUGGCCUCAGCGUCAUGCGGCAUUGACACUGGGUGGACAUGCACUGGCCGGCCACAGGCCUACUAUGGCGGGAUGUGGGGAUUCCAGGUGAGGGGCAUGGAUGGUGGACAAGAUAGAGAGAGGUUUGGGGGUUCCUGUCAGCAGGCCUUGUUGUUGGGCUUGACAUCUGCAGAUCUUCCUUUCAACUCGGACCCACUCCAGACCUUGAGAUCCCCAGGGAUCAUGCAGAGUGAAAGUGAGCUUGCGUCACCCACCUCUCCAGUGGACUAGAGCUCCUCAGGACUAAGAUAUUCUGGCUUCCUCCAGGGGAGGAGGUAGGAGAAAAAUGAAUAAGAGGGAAAUGGGAAGGAAGAGAAGGAAGCAAACUCCCAGAAGAAGUUUGCAUCCAACGGCAAAAGAGGCAACAAAAAAUUACCAUCAAUAGCUGAGCCAAAGUAGAUCUAGUUCCUUCUGCAUCCCAAGCAUCACGCUAGGUAGGUACUCUCACAAAACACGGCUCAUUUUUUUUAAGGUGGAUUUUAUUUUACUCAUUUAAACAGCUUUAUUGAGGUAUAAACCCCACCCACAGAGAGAAUAUUUCUAUCCUCGCUUUUCAAAUAAAACCAUGAGGAACAGAGAAGUUGAGCAACUUCCCCACCAUUGCAAAGGUUUUAGAUAACGGGGCAGAGAUUUGGUGCAGAACUGUGAAGUCUCUGAACUCCCCUCACCCCACUCACAAUAAUGCUCCUGUUACAACAAAGAACGAAGAAAACGAGCGUUCCUGGGAUGAAUCCAUAUUGCUCCUGUGGAGUAAACCAUGACUAGGAAUGCAAGCGGGGCUGAGGCACAUAUCUGCCUCUCUCUGAUCUAACCCUUGUCAAACAAUGUGAUUUCCUUUCCACACCAGAGUGGAGAUCCUUUCUCUGCCCUAUGGCUGCACACCUGCAGCCUUUGUCCAUAAUUUGUACACUUUACUUCCUGAAAAUACCGGCCUGAAAUAGCAAAGAUAAGAUGGUGCUCCAUCUGGGCUCUGUGUCCAUGGAAAUGUCGGUUUCCUGGCUGACUUCACCCUGUCCCUGUAGCCCUUGUCUGUCAUUCCUGUUGGGGGCCAUGCCCUGCUUUGGAGUGGUGUGUGUCCCUGUUGGCAUGGCUUCCUGAGAGCUGUCACUGAACCUGGGAAUCAGAAGUAAACCCAA
rnacentral:lncRNA from 1 species